CAGCUGCUCCCCUGUACCUAUUUAAUCAUCUCCUCCUUACCUGUACUUUUGGAUCUAAAGAUACUUCUUGAAAUACUUUCAGUAAUUUGAGAGUGAAGUGAUGGAAUUUGUGUUUUUCACAGAAAACCCUAGGAUCAGUGUGGAAGAUGAAGUGGGGAUAGAUUGACAUCAGAGAGACAGGAUCAUUAACAAGAAGCCAGGUGGAAAGUGAUGAUGGACUGAAUUUAGUGCUGAAAUUAGAUAUGCAAGAUGUGAAGACGGUGGGACCUACAAGACUCCCUGACUUUGGAUGUGGAUCCUGUUUGUUUUGUUCUCUGGUAUAUCUUCAGCAGCUAGAACAGUGCCUGGCAUAUAAUAGGCUCUGUAAAAAUAUUUAAUAAAUGGAUGCUCUGAGGAGGGUUCCAUGGCCUUCUUAUCUUAUUAAUUCCCAGAAAGGAGAG
rnacentral:lncRNA from 1 species